GCAAACAUAUUCCAUAUGCACCGGCUACUCUGACAAAUUGCAAAAGCAUUCUCAACUUCUCAUCCUCCGACCUCCGCCUCUCCUCUCCCCCGUCCCCACCACUAAACGACGAGACGAGAGAAGAGACGCCGCGCGCGGUGCCACGAUGCUGCUCCGGCGCCUCCUUGGCCCCUCCGGUGAGGUCUCCCGCCACCUCCGCUGCUCCCACUCUACGCUCGCCUCGCGCCCUGCCUGGGCCAUGGUGGUCAGCGAGCCGCAAGAAGAGGCGGCGGAGCUACGCGCGACCUUCCGCCUCGCAGAGCCCCCGCGCGCCUCCCAACUCCUGAUCCCCGUCGACGCCAUCAGCGCCCCCGAUAGCCAGAACCGCGGCAUCCAUGCCAAGGGAGAGUCCAUCUGUGCCGUCGUCGAGGAGGCGACCAGCGACGACGGCCUGAUCCUCCUCCGCGCCAUUGUUGUGCAAGCGCAACUGCCUGCCUCCGCCCAAGCGACGGCUCCCAACUUCCCAGGUUCGUCUCGGCUUCUGGGCCACGAGGACGAGAAGACCGUCGCCCGCGUCGUCUGCAACCCUCUCAGCGGCCAGCUGAUCCUCCUCCCGGACAUCGAGGGCACACGCAAGGGUUCGCCCGGUCUGGUGGGGUACGCCGGCUUGCUCACUCCAGCUGACCGCUGGGACGGGCCGCCCGACAGAUACGUGGUAGCCGAGGUCAGCGGCGACGACUUCGUCAUGCAUCGAUUUCUCUCGGAAACGGGGAGGUGGGACGCGAUGCAGGGAUUCUUGUCCCCACUGCCGGCUGCGCGCCCGAUCGUCGUGGAUCAGCCGGUGGUGGCUUUCGGCGGCCGGUUGUGGUGGAUCGACCUGGCCUGGGGCGCCGUCUCCGUCGACCCGUUUGCCGACGAACCGGAUUUCCGCUUCGUCGAGUUACCGAGCGGCAGAGUGCUGCCUGCAUCCAACAAGAUGAGCAACGAGAGGCGACGACGGAAGGUGAUUCUGAGCAGGCACCGGCGCAUCGGGGUCAGCGAGGGGAGGCUGCGGUAUGUUGAGGUCUCCGAGGGGGAUCCAUUCGUGCUCAGCUCCUUCGUGCUCGACGAAGAGGGCAGCUGCUGGACGAUGCAGCACUGUACGGCGCUGUUGUCGGAAGGGGCGCCCUUCCCGCAGAUGCCAGGCAUUGGUUGCAUCAAUCCGCUCAACUCCCAUCUCGUGUACAUCAUGGUCGGCAGAAUCGUUUUCGGCGUAGACAUGGAGAAGGGGAUGGCGAUUGGGCGUUCUGUGCUGGAUGAACCCUGCUGGCUGACACCCUGCGUGCUCCCGCCGUGGCUUGGGUCCAGCCGGAUCCCUUCUACAGGAACCCUUUUGAGCAAGAAGAUCGACGUUGAAAGCAAGACUUUGGAAGACAUGCUAGUCCGUGUAGAUAGAUGCAGUUUAAAAUGAGGUGCACUGGCUAAUUCAUCAUUUGUUACAUUUGUCUGCCUCCUAUGAUGGUGUUACCAUCUCUAAAGCUUAUACUCAUAUUGUGGUUACUUGAAAUUUACUGGUAGAGAUGUUCCAGAUAUUGUCUUUGAUGGUAGCAGUUUCUUGAAGUACCUGAACUCUCAUUUUGGGGGAUGCUAGGAGAAGUUUGGGUUUUGCCGUGCAUUUGGACUUUGCUGGUGCUAGCUGUUGAAUUUUGAGUGUCUGCUUUGAGAAAUGAGUGAGUUGGGGUUUACUGAAGAACUUUGUGGCCCUCAUUUUGACGAAUUAUGUCAAACAUUUUGCAACUUGUCUUUGCUGCCUAUGCUGUGAACGCUGUUUAAUUAAGGAUGUGUUUGGUUGGGGAGAUUUCAUGGGUUGGGAUGGAGCCAACCAGGUUUUGCCCUUGUUUGGUUUGGGAGUCGGAAGGAGUGGGUCGGACCUAGGAGGGAAUAUUCUAGCCAGAUUCGGGGUGGGAUGAUCCGGCAAAAUUUGCCGGACCGAGCCGACCCAGCAGCGUGCGCGGGCGCG